rnacentral:tRNA from 4 species
GGAUGGGUGGCCGAGCGGUUGAAGGCACCGGUCUUGAAAACCGGCAGGCCCUGUGAGGGGUCUCGUGGGUUCGAAUCCCACCCCAUCCGCCA